rnacentral:rRNA from 1 species
GAUGAACGCUGGCGGCGUGCCUAAUACAUGCAAGUCGAGCGAACGGACGAGAAGCUUGCUUUUCUGAUGUUAGCGGCGGACGGGGGAGUAACACGUGGAUAACCUACCUAUAAGACUGGGAUAACUUCGGGAAACCGGAGCUACUACCGGAUAAUAUUUUGAACCGCAUGGUUCAAAAGUGAAAGACGGUCUUGCUGUCACUUAUAGAUGGAUCCGCGCUGCAUUAGCUAGUUGGUAAGGUAACGGCUUACCAAGGCAACGAUGCAUAGCCGACCUGAGAGGGGGAUGGGCCAACACGGAACGGAGGCAACGUCCCGAAUCCUACGGGAGGCAGCAGUAGGGAAGAUUACGGCACGGGGGGAAGCCUGACGGAGCAACGCCGCGGGAGGGAUGAAGGUCGUCGGAUCGUAAAAAUCCGUUAUUAGGGAAGAACAUAGGGUUAAGUAACUGUGCACAGCUUGACGGUACCUAAAUAGAAAGCCACGGCUAACUACGUG